UGAUCAUUUCAAAGACAGCUCAUGGGGCUGUAAAACCAAAAACUCUUAACUCUGUGACCAAGGAUUGACGUUCUCUAUAGAAUGUCAUAACACUCAACAGUGCUGUUUUCCCGAAGAGAUAUAAAU
rnacentral:snoRNA from 1 species